rnacentral:lncRNA from 1 species
GAAAAAAUUAGGCAACAACAACUGUCCUAAAGUGGCAUCAGAUGUAUAUGAAGCUAACAUCGGGAAGAUUUCCUAAUUGGGAUGACUAUGUGAGGGCUGUGUUACUUUGAUUUGGGGACAUUGAACAUGCAGAUCCUAUGGUAGAGUUGAUAUCUCUCAAACAAACUGGGGGUGUUGAAGAGUUUUUGGAUAAGUUUGAUGAGUUGUUGAACCAAGUAGAAUUAACAGAGGAACACUCUAUCAACAUAUUCUUGGCUAAUCUGAAACCAGAAAUUGAAGUGCAAAUGAGGAUGUUGAGUCCUUGAACCUUGACGAAGGCUUAUAGUCAUGCUCGGUAAGUGGAACAAUCUUUGAAGUUACAACAUGGUCAGACUCAGGCAUUGGUGAUGAGUUCAAAGGCAUUACUUCCUGCUCCUCAUAGUUCUUGGAGUGCAAGUGGUCAAGGAUCUAGUUCUUAUCAAGGAGGGGAUAGUAUGAAAACGUAUGGGGGUGAAAGAAAUAUCAAAUUUGAUAACAAGUCUGUUAUUCCAGUGACUAGGAGAUCAUCACCUGCGGAAAUGGAUGAAAAGAGGACAUAAGGCUUAUGCUAUUGCUGCAAUGAAAAAUAUACUCAUAAUCACAAAUGCAAUAGGAGGAAACAAUUGUUCAUACUAGAGCUAGAUGAAGAGGAAAGGGAAGAAGAAGACGUAUGGCAAGAUGGAGGAGUGGAUCUUGAAAAUUCUAAAGAAUCAACCUUGCAACCACAAGUGUUAGUGCACUUGAUGGUACAAGUGAUUAUAGAACUAUGAGAGUAAAGGGAGCCUUGAAGGGCAAAAUGGUGCAUGUUCUAAUUGACUUCGGUUCUACCCAUAGCUUCAUAGACUCGGCAACUGCUAAGAAACUGGUAUGCAAGCUACAAUCUAUUCAUUCUUUUGUUGUAGCUGUAGCAGAUGGGAGAAAAAUGCACAUCUCUGUCAUGACUUGUGGAGUGACAUCGAAUAUACAGGGUGUGACAUGUAAAGCUGAUAUGUUGGUGAUUUCAUUAGGAAGCAUUGCUGUAGUUUUGGAAAUACAGUGGCUAAUCACAUUAGGAGACAUAGGUGAAACUUCAAACAACUUAAAAUGGAGUUCCAAAUAGGUUGAAGGAAGGCAUCAUCAGGGGCAGCCAACCUGGAUCAUUCAAGGUGUUAGCAGAUGUCAAAAUGCAGAACGUAAUAAGCAAAACCAGCCAGAUUAUUCAAUGACAGUAGCUUUCAUUCAACCAAUUGAGAAUUCAAGUUUACAGACCUCACCAAAGGCUCCUUCCCCUGAAGAUUUACAGAAGAUUCUGGACCAAUAUGCAAUGCUUUUUGAAGUGCCUUCCACCUCAUAGGAGUCAUGACCACAAGAUCAUACUGAAGGAGGGCACUUCACCUAUCAAUGUGAGGCCAUAUAGUCAUAUAGAUACUCUGCUAGUAAAAUAGAUGAGAUUGAAAGAUGAUUAAGGAAAUUCUGGAAUCUGGGGUCAUUCAACCAAGUGUAAGUCCAUUUUCUUCUCCUAUAGUUAUGGCUAAAAAGAAAGAUGGUUCUUGGAGACUUCGCAUCGACUAUAUGAAACUAAACGAUUGUACUGUGAAGGAUAAAUUCCUUAUACCUGUGAUAGAGGAGUUACUGGAUGUGUUAGGGGGGGUCCAAAUAUUCUUUCAAAACUAGAUUUGAGAUCAGGUUAUCAUCAAAUUAGGAUUGCUGAAAAUGAUAUCGAGAAGACAACGUCUCACAUUGGUCAUUAUGAAUUUGCAGUAAUGUCAUUUGGACUAAGAGGGGUUGCUCUGAGGGUAAGCAACCCCCACUUCCAACCGAGAGGUUGUGAGUUCGAGUCUCCCCAAGAGCAAGGUGGGAAGUUCUUGGAGGGAAGGAUGCCGGGGGN